CAGUGUUGAAAGCUCCAGGUCGGACCUGAACAAGCUCCCGGUUUUACCCACUAGAAUCCUGAGGGAGCACCCCUCCCUGGUAUACUGUGAAGACCGAGUGAUCGAGCACUAUGAGAACCUGAAGGGCCUCAGCAGAGGGCAAGCAAUUGUGCAGUAUUUGGCCUUAGUGGAGUCCCUCCCUACAUAUGGAGUUCAUUAUUAUCCAGUAAAGGACAAGCAGGGCCUGCCGUGGUGGCUGGGAGUCAGCUAUAAAGGCAUUGGACAGUACGAUUUACAGGACAAGUUGAAACCUCGGAAGGUAGGUUGGCCUUCUGUGACUUGUUUCUCCUUAUGGUGUAACUGAACAACCAGCCCCACUCUGGUUAAUAAUCCACCAAACUGUAAAUAAUGGCAACAAAAAGCUUGUGUUCUUGGCCAGGGUAAAGGGAGGGAAAGUUGUUAUCAACGUGGGUGUGAUAGUAUCUGGAUUAUGGUGAUAAGAUUGUGGCAUUCCUCAUUUAGGGUGUGAUUGAAAUAACCAUGACUGUGAUUCCAAAUAUGAUACCUAAAGUUACAGUUUUGGCAAAAAAAAGUUACAAUAUAUUCUUGUGUGUUUUCCUCCGCCAGUUUCAUUACUAUGUCUCUUACCUGUUCCCAUGUUGGAUCCCUGUUGACACAGCUGGGUUUGCUUAAUGCCAAGGCAUUAAUGGGCGUGUCCCAUGUAUUAAACCCAGCGUAUCCCAGUUCCUUUCUCAGCAGCCCUUCCAGUGGAAGGUGUAAUUAUGGUGCAGGAUGGGGAGCAGGCAGGCAGGGCUCUGGGGCUGGAUGAGCCGGCACCAAGCCAGCCUGGGCGGUCUCUGUGAGGGGCUCAGCUCUGAGAGAGAGCUAUGCUCUACCCAGGCCAACCAACCACACAUGGAGGGAGGGAGCACUCAUGCCAAAACUCCUCUGUAGCAGACCCCUGGUGAAAUGGUGGACUUUUGUAAUAUGCUUUUUUUUUAAGUGCACAACUCUUGUUGCUGUUCUAGAGGGGCCUGUCAUCUGGUAGAAUAUUGAUAGUGCUUCCUAUCAAGGCUGGCGACCUUUGUAUUCAUCGCAGCCCCCCUCUGCCCUUCUCCAAGCAUGCUGUGCUCAUUAUGCAAAGCUGCCUGUCAUUGUGUGUGUGUGUUUCUCUCGGAGAGCAAACAAUUGAUCAAGCAAUAAAACACAAUCACCUUGGCAGGGGGGCUGUGAGAAGCUUGGAAGGGUGUGAGGGGCUUGG